UUUGCAACGUUUGAUCAUUCACACCACGUUCGACAAUGUGAUUCUGAUCUUCAUCCUCCUAAGCUGUGUCACCAUUGCUAUGGAGAGGCCCGCGAUUGAACAUCAUAGCAUGGAGCGAUGGAUCCUGGAUAUAUCCAACUACGUAUUCUCUGCUGUCUUCCUGGUGGAGAUGAUUUUCAAGGUCCUAGCUCUUGGUCUGCUGUUUGGGAAGGAGAGCUACUGCCAGUCUUCCUGGAACAUGUUGGAUGGUUUGCUAGUGUUUCUGUCUUUUG